AGGCUUUGACUUGGGCAACUUCGUUUAAAUGUUUGUCGAAUUGCACUCGUCCCGGCCUGC
rnacentral:pre_miRNA from 1 species